rnacentral:rRNA from 1 species
UACGGGGGGGGCAAGCGUUGUUCGGAAUUACUGGGCGUAAAGGGCUCGUAGGCGGCCAACUAAGUCAGACGUGAAAUCCCUCGGCUUAACCGGGGAACUGCGUCUGAUAUUGGAUGGCUUGAGGUUGGGAGAGGGAUGCGGAAUUCCAGGUGUAGCGGUGAAAUGCGUAGAUAUCUGGAGGAACACCGGUGGCGAAGGCGGCAUCCUGGACCAAUUCUGACGCUGAGUGAGCGAAAGCCAGGGGAGCAAACGGG